CUUGCCCUCCACACGGACGCCCCCUCGUGUAUCAAGGGGCCGGGCGCACCGCGCCUUCUUCCCGCUGCAGCCCGACCCAGCCGGUGUCUGCCGGCCGCUUGGUAUCCCCCGGCCCGGCAGCGACGGCGAGCGCCCGCCUUCCGACCUUACGCGGCCUUCUGACUGGGCGACGAACAGCCAGCAUUGCCGCCGCUGCCGCCUUCCUUUGCCUUUCUCGGUCGCCCGAGUAAGCGCCGCCUGCCAUCACCAUGACGCCCGAAGGCAUGCGCACGCGCCGAUGGGCGCCGGUUGGUUUCCGGGCCUACAGCUCGAUUUGAAAUUCAGAAGAGUGAUAAAUACAAGCUUCGGAUCUCCAUAGUGGGACUGAUUGGGCUGCUGUUGCUGAGGACUUGAUCUGUAACAAUGGAUCUGGCCUUGGAUGAAGCUUGGAGCCAAUCUACAUUCUAAAGAAUACUCCCCAGAGGAAGAGGAACACCGGAGAAUUGUGUGGGAGAACAACUGGGAAAUGGUUGAGCAACACAACCGUGAGACUGCGCAAGGGAAACACACGUACACAAUGGGAAUGAACCAAUUUGCCGAUUUGACUGAUGAAGAGUUUAAUAAAAAGAUGGUUAAUAAUAAUAAUAAAUAAAGUUAUUACUUAUACCCCA